rnacentral:rRNA from 1 species
CCUUGUACACACCGCCCGUCACACCAUGGGAGUGGGUUGCGAAAGAAGUAGGUAGCUUAACCUUCGGGAGGGCGCUUACCACUUUGUGAUUCAUGACUGGGGUG